rnacentral:rRNA from 1 species
UACGAAGGGGGCUAGCGUUGUUCGGAAUUACUGGGCGUAAAGCGCGCGUAGGCGGUGAUCUUUGUCAGAGGUGAAAUCCCGAGGCUCAACUUCGGAAUUGCCUUUGAAACGGGAUCGCUUGAGUCCGAGAGAGGAUGGCGGAAUUCCUAGUGUAGAGGUGAAAUUCGUAGAUAUUAGGAAGAACACCAGUGGCGAAGGCGGCGAAUCUGGGCAGUUACUGACGCUGAGGUGCGAAAGCGUGGGGAGCAAACAGGG